GCGGCGGCGGACGGUGGUCCGGCGGCGGAGCUGCGGUGGCGACGAUUUCCGGCGGCGGCGCGUGCGUUUCACGCGCGCGCGAAGGGCGGUUUUCUGGAGGCGCGUACGGCUUCGUCCGGGCUCCGUUUGAGGCGUGCUUGGUGUCUACGGCUUUGUCUCGACGAGAGGAACACGAUGAUGGGCUUGGAUGCACGAGAUUCGCAACGGUUAAGAAGUUAUGGUCGAUUUACUAAAACGGAACCGAAACUGAACUUAAAUCAUGGGAUUUUCGCGGUGGUUACCUGCGAUUAACGGUGGUGGCGAGCUCAACACGGUCACGGGGCGCAGAGGCUAUAACGAACUCCGGUGACGACCUCAACCUCUCCAAAUCCUUCUUUUCACCUCCCCCUCUCUUCUUUUAUCUUCCCUUCUCUUCUCUACUCUUCUCUUCUCUCUGAUUUUUUUUUCUUUUGAUUGCAGGUUAUUAGUGGAGAAGGUGGGUUUAAUAGAUGUGUUAAUGGGUGGAGUUGGUGGAGUGGAGAAGUUAGGUCGUGACAAUUCUCCCCUACUUACAAGGAAUUCGUCCCCGAAUUCAAUUCAUAAGCUGUCAUGCCCAAUGUCAAUCCGGAAAAGCUCCGGAUAAUCAAUCCUCAUCUGGGGCUCGGACUCCCAAGUCUCCUCCUGAAUACCAUCUCUCUCCCAACGAACUUUGACCAACAUAGUCAUCAUACCAUCAUCUGCUCUCACUUGGCGAUCCAAUAGCUCUACUGGCUGACACGGCGCACGCAAAUUCCUACCAAGGUCACUGGGCGGCUGCUGCAAAAUGAGCUCUGGUUCUCUCACGACUUUCCUCAAAACUGAAACAUGAAACACGUCAUGGAAAUCUGAUAACUCUUCGGAUAAAUCCAAUCGGUAAGCAACUGCUCCAAUUCGCUCCAAAAUGGGAUAUGGUCCCAUAUAUCUCGGUUUAAGCUUCUUCAGCUUCCGAGUCUUAGAUCCUCCCUGAAAUGUCCUCAUUUUCAGGUAUACCAGGUCGCCAACCUGGAACUCCAAAUCUUUACGCCGCUUAUCUGCAUAACUCUUCUGACGGUCAUGGGCUUCCCUAAGCCGUAUCUUAAGCAUCUCAACCUGCUCAACUGUCUCUUGAACCAUUGCAGGUUCUAUCUCACGUCGCUCCCCCACUUCGGUCCAACAAAGCGGUGUGCGACAAGGCCUACCAUAAAGGGCCUCAUAUGGCGCUAUCUUAAUGCUCGAGUGAUAACUAUUAUUGUAGGCAAACUCCGCUAGGGGUAGGUACUUUGCCCAACUCCCUUCCCAAUCCAAAACACAAGCUCUAAGCAUAUCCUCCAAAGUCUGAAUCGUCCUCUCUGACUGACCGUCUGUCUGCGGGUGAUACGCCGUACUCAUAUGCACUUUCGUCCCAAGCGCCUUCUGGAAGGCUCUCCAAAAUUCGGACGUAAACUUUGUAUCUCGAUCUGAUACAAUGCUGACAGGAACUCCAUGCAAUCUCACAAUCUCGCUGAUGUAAGUCUGUGCUAACUGAUCAGCUCUGUCCGUCUUCUUAAUAGCUAGAAAAUGGGCUGACUUGGUAAGUCUAUCCACGAUUACCCAGAUGGCAUUCUUUCCACCUAAGGUGGUUGGCAACCCCGUCACAAAAUCCAUAGUUACCAUGUCCCAUUUCCACUCUGGCAGUGGCAGGUUCUGCAAUAACCCGCUAGGCACCUGAUGCUCGGCCUUGACCAUCUGACACGUCUGACACUGCGAUAUAAAUGAAGCAACAUCCCUCCUCAUACCAGGCCAAUGAUAAUAACGCUUGAGAUCCUUGUACAUCUUGGUGUUUCCUGGAUGAAUAGAGAAACGCGAGUGGUGUGCCUGCUGCAAGAUUUCCUUUUUUAACAACUCAUCAUUAGGCACACAAACCCGGUUCCGAUACAUGAACAUCCCACUCGAAGCUGUAUGAUAUCCAAUACUCUCAAUCUCGAUCUGCUUACACAAAGCCUCAUCAGCAUCCUGAGUCUUACGCACUUUCCAUAACAAAUCUGCUUGCUCCACAGCCUCGAGGCCAACUGCCUCACCUUCCACGGUAGUGGCACACAAUCUGAGACUAGAAGGUGUCCUAGUAAACUCUUGAACCUCCUUGGUUCCUGAAACAUCGCUCCUGCGCCUGCUCAAGGCAUCUGCUACCUGAUUAGCUUUUCCCGGAUGAUAAGCAAUAUCCAGGUUGUAGUCUGCUAACAACUCGACCCACCUACGCUGCCUCAAAUUCAAAUCCGCCUGAGUGAAGAUAUAUUUCAAACUCUUAUAGUCCGUGAAGAUCUUCACCUUCUCCCCAUAUAAAUAUGAUCUCCAGAUCUUCAGUGCAAAUACAACUGCUGCUAACUCUAAAUCAUGCGUAGGAUAGUUGACCUCGUGAGGCCUCAACUGACGUGAUGCAUAUGCAAUGACCUAACCUUCCUGCAUCAAUACACAUCCUAAACCAGUGCCUGAAGCAUCGGUGUAAACCUCAUAUGGUAUCCCUGGCCUCGGGAGUACCAAAACUGGCGCAUGGGUCAGCUGUCGCUUCAACUCAGUGAAACUCCUUGAGCAAUCGUCUGACCAAUCAAACUUGACGUCUUUACCCGUCAGCUUUGUCAUCGGCUUUGCAAUGCUAGCAAAACUCUUGACGUACUUCCUGUAGUACCCUGCCAAACCGAGAAAACUGCGGAUCUCCGUAGCAUUCUUUGGCGUCGGCCACUCUGAAAUGGCGGUAAUCUUCUCCUGAUCUACUGCAACUCCUACUUCUGAAAUCACAUGGCCUAAAAAUCCAAUCUUCCUCUGCCAAAAGCUACACUUACUCACCUUGGCAAACAACUGGUGUUCCCGAAGCUUAUCCAGCACAAUCCUCAAAUGCUCAGCAUGCUCUUCUUUACUCCGAGAAUAAACCAAAAUGUCGUCGAUGAAAACGAUCACACACUUAUCCAAGUGCUCCCGAAACACAUCAUUCAUAAGCUUCAUGAACGCUGCCGGUGCGUUCGUCAAUCCAAAUGGCAUCACCACAAACUCAUAAUGCCCAUAGCGUGUACGGAAGGCCGUCUUCCGCACAUCUCCAUCAGCUAUCGCAAUCUGGUGGUAUCCCAAUGCCAAGUCAAUCUUAGAGAACCAAGAAGCUCCCUGCAACUGGUCCAACAACUCGUCAAUACGCGGAAGCGGAUACUUAUUCUUGAUGGUCACUUUGUUCAGACCUCUAUAGUCGAUACAAAGUCUGAAACUCUCAUCUUUCUUUUUCACGAACAACACUGGUGCUCCCCACGGUGAAGUACUCGACCUGAUAAAUCCCUUAUCCGAUAGCUCUUCCAACUGUUUCUUCAAUUCCGCCAUCUCAGCUGGUGCAAGGCGGUAUGGGGCUCGUGAAACUGGUGUUGCUCCUGGCUCCACCUCGAUCGCGAGAACGUCUGGUCUAGCUGGUGGCGGCCCUUUUAAAGCCUCAAAAACGUCUUCGUACUCGGAAACCACUGGAAUGUCAUGCAGCUCCUGCUGACCAUCCUCCUUAACCAUCGAAAUGGUCGCCAAAAAUCCUUAUGCUCCUCUCUCUAGUAGCUCAUCCGCAACAUGGAGACAAUGGAAAUUCCAUGGUGUGUCUGAAUCUCUUGGAAUAUGAUCUUCCCUUUUGCUCUGGGGAUAUGGACUCUCGCUCUCGGACAAUCCAGUACUACUUGAUGUCGUGACAACCAAUCCAUUCCAAGUAUAACAUCGUAGCAGCUCAUUUCCAGCUCCGUCAAAUCUCUGAGAAACUCAACUCCUCCAAGAAUAACUGGUACAUUGCGAUGAAUGCCGACUGCUCCCAACUUCUCUGUGCCGGCAGUCUGAAUCUUCUUAGCCUUCGGUUCGAAGACACCCCGAAAAGGCCAAGACUGGGCUAAGUGUGGACUCACAAAACUAUUAGAGGCUCCCGUGUCGAAUAAAGUGUGAGCUGAUUUUCCUCCAACCGAAACCGAUCCUACACGAGAUUUUGCUAACUACACAUGACAACCACAAACCAAAAUACUCAAACACAACAAGUAUGAAAAAGUCACAUACCCGCUAUCGGUUCAACUCCCUGGGGAUCUCCAACUGUAAAGACCCGUGGAGCGAUGGCUGGACGCUUCAGUGGUGGUGGAAGCGAUGCAUUGCCUCUCCUCGGACAAUCUCUGUAGAUGUGACCCGGCUGGUUGCAGCCGUAACAGUUCCUCGCUGCCACUGCUGGUGCUACUGCUGCUGCUGGCGCUGCAACCUGAGUACGUGGCGGCUUCCUACAAUUCUUCGAGAUAUGCCCAACCAGACCACAAUUAUAGCACUGGAAACAUUCCCCAAAAUGGUGGCGACGACAACGCCCACAACGGGGUGCUCCAGUCUGCUCCCAAGGCCUCUUCUGCGACCCCGAAGCCCCUCCUGCCUUAGGCUGAACUGCUUUGGAGAACUUCUGCUCCUCGCCCAUACAUUUCUCCUGCACAGCCGCCUUCUCUACCAGAUCCUCCAAACUGGUGUAGGUAACCACACUGCACCUACCACGAAGUUCUACUCGCAUCCCAUCUAAGAACCUCCUGAUCAGAUCCUCCUCAUCUAUGUUGUUACCCACAAAUCUGCGGAGUUGGUUAAACUCCCGCUCAUACUCCCUGACAGACUUUGCACCCUGCCUCAAAUGCUUGAAAUCAUUCUUCUUCUCAUGCAAAGCUUCCCUCGGAAAAUACUUCUUGUUGAACGCAUAAAGAAAAUCAUCAUAUGUCAGCUCACCACGGUGCAUCAAUCUCACUCCAUCCCACCAGAUUGAUGCAUCUCCGCGCAAAUACAACUCAGCGAUGUUUAGCUUGAGCCUUGGUGGGCACGAGAUGGUCUUCAAACACUUAUCCAAACUGUGCUUCCAAUCGUGAGCAACUGUAGGUUCCGUCGUUCCAGUGAAAUGCUCCAAACUCACAUACUUCAUCUGUCCCAACACCCUGAUAAAUGUCUCAUCAACCUCGGGCACCUGAACUGGGAAUGCAGGUGGCGGUGGUGGAACCUGAAAAACUCCUGGAACCGGCUGAACAGGAACCUAAGGGUACUGCUGGACUGGAGCCGGCUGAUGUGGAACCUGAUGAUAAUGCUGAACCUGAACUGGUGGAGCCUGCUGCAUGCGAAUCUGCGGACCCUGCUGCACUGCAGCCAUUUGUCUGGCAAUCUCCUGAGCAGCUACUCGGGCAGCCUCCUGGGCAGCUUGCUGGACUGCCUCCUGUGCAGCCUGCCUAGCGGCAUCCUGAACCAUCUGUCUCAAAGCAUCCUGAUCAAUAGGCGGAGCCGCCUGCUGCUGAACUGCGGGCUGGACAUGCUCAUCUUCAACCUCUCUAGCAACUCUGGGAGUCUGAGUACGAACAACUCUCUUCCUGGGCGCCAUCUGAAGGAAAAGCGAAAAAGUUAACUUAUGCCGAUCUCUGGAUACCAACAUUUAAGAAGUAGUGAUACCGAACGGAAAGGUGCGAUUUAUUUUCAUUUUCAAAACUCCCAAAUCCCCAAAAUAUUUUGAAAUCGUCUAAAACCGUUUAAACCGAAUAAAACCGAGUCUCCAAAAUCGCCAUCCCGGGUCGGAGCCGGGACGGAACCCGCUCUGAUACCAAAAUGUGACACCCCGAUUUACAUAAUAAAAUGUUACGAUAAGUAAAUAGCUCUGAUACCAAAAUGUGACACCCGCCACUUUCAAAAUAAAAUAAAUUGAUAAAAGCGAAAAUAAAAUAAUAAUACAACUCAAAUAAUAAUAAUCUUCAUAUAAUAUAAUAGUCGAUACGGUAACAAAAGGCCUAAAAGCCCAACAUCGAUAACAUCCGAAAUAUAAAAUACGAUAUAAACCAAAAGUCUGAAAUAGGAAUAACGUAGGCGAUAAAAGUCCAAAGGCCUGGAGGCCCGAUAACGAUAAAAGCGAUAAAACGAUAGAAGCCCAAAAUGCCCAAUAGCACCAGUCCGAUAAUCACUCCUGCUCGUCGGUCUCACCUGAAAGGGGGAAAUAAGGAGGGGUGAGCGACAGGGGAAUCGCCCAGUGAGGUAUGGGAUGCUAAACCGCAAACCACUGACUCAGUUCAUAGCACUACAACUAUGUAGGCAUAGCUCUAGCAUGAGACAAUCACGGUGCCUAUUACACCACACAGAACAAUCACAUAUGUCUAGUGGACUAGACAUGAUACAACCAAUGCGAUAAUAGCAUAUCACAUUUCCUCAUAAGGAUAUAUAUACUUUACAGGCGUCGCUAGCACAGUAGUCCACACUGCACCCCGCAAAUCUCUAAGGCGUCGUAAGUACAAACGUCUCUGUACCCCCGCAAAUCUCCACAAACAUGGCAGCCAGUGCAAACGUCUCUGCACCCCGCAAAACUCCUCAAACAUAGGCAGCCAGUGCAAACGUCUCUGCACCCCGCAAAUCUCCAAAACAUGGACUCGUAUAUAUAUACAUAUAUAUAACAAUUCUUAACAUCAAUCAUUUCAAUCAACCGUUGAAUCCUCUAUUAUCCUAUUUCCGGUUUAACAAUCAAUAAUAAUAAUAAACAAGCAAGACUCUCAAACAGACUCGAUCUCCAAAACAUGGACUCGUAUAUAUAUACAUAUAUAUAACAAUUCUUAACAUCAAUCAUUUCAAUCAACCGUUGAAUCCUCUAUUAUCCUAUUUCCGGUUUAACAAUCAAUAAUAAUAAUAAACAAGCAAGACUCUCAAAAAGACUCGAUUCACAGAGACGGAUCAUGUUUCGAAACUAAACUUUCCAUAACGGUAGUACUAAACUAGCUCGGGAUUUAACGGAGUAGCCCUCACCUUAGCAAUGAAGAGAAGUGGUAUAUAUGAACUCCAGCUGCUCAAAUGGACUCCAAAUCUGAAAUCAGAUCGAAAUUUCGAGUCAGAACGCCUUUCGAACGGUUUAAAACGGGUAUUUACGGAAAAGUCAACCCGCUGGUCAAAGAUCAAUUAUUUAAUUAAUUAAUUAAUUAAUUAAUAAAUUAAUUAAUCCGGUUUAUCCUAACCGAUUUCCAAUUGAUUUUAACCGACCGGUUUAACCUAACCGAAUUGAAAUCAAUUUAAACCGGCUAACCAAUCGGUUAACCGAGUCAACCGAGUUGACUCACCGGGUCGACUCGGCCGAGUUGGCGAGUCGCCGGCGAGUCACCGGUGUCGGUCAUCGGCGGCGACGGCGGAGCUACGGCGGCGGCUUACCGGUAAGUUGGCCGGCGGCGACGGCGGAGCUGCGGCGGAGAACGGUGGUCCGGCGGCGGCGCUGCGGCGGAGGACGGUGGUCCGGCGGCGGCGCGUGGAACUCACGCGCGCGCGGAGGUGAAACUUCCGGAGGCGCGUACGGCUUCGUCCGGGCUCCGAUCGUGACGCGGUUGGUGUCUACGGCUUCGUCUUGACGAGAGGAACACGAUGAUGGCCUUGGAUGCACGAGAUUCACUACGGUUAGAAAGUUAUGACCGAUUUACUAAAACGAGCGAAACAUAACUCAAAACAUGGCGGUUUCCGGUUACCUCGAGCUGCGGUUGAUGGUGAUGACGAGCUUGACGACGUCCUGGCGUGCGGUGGCUCCGGCGACGAGCUCAGGUGAGCUUUCUCUCUCUUUCUCUCUCUCUUUCUCUCUCUCUCUUUCUCUCUCUCUCUCUCUCUCUCUUUAAAGAAGUUGGAGAUGGUGGAGAUAAUGGAGAUGGCUCUCUCUCUUUCUCUCUCUCUCUCUCUCUCUCUCUUUAAAGAAGUUGGAGAUGGUGGAGAUAAUGGAGAUGGUGGGGAUGGUGGAGAUGGUGGGGAUAGUGGAGAUGGUGGGUCAUUACAAUUCUCCCCUACUUACAAGGAAUUCGUCCCCGAAUUCAAUUCAUAAGCUGUCAUGCCCAAUGUCAACCCGGAAAAGCUCCGGAUAAUCAAUCCUCAUCUGGGGCUCGGACUCCCAAGUCUCCUCCUGAAUACCAUCUCUCUCCCAACGAACUUUGACCAACAUAGUCAUCAUACCAUCAUCUGCUCUCACUUGGCGAUCCAAUAGCUCUACUGGCUGACACGGCGCACGCAAAUUCCUACCAAGGUCACUGGGCGGCUGCUGCAAAAUGAGCUCUGGUUCUCUCACGACUUUCCUCAAAACUGAAACAUGAAACACGUCAUGGAAAUCUGAUAACUCUUCGGAUAAAUCCAAUCGGUAAGCAACUGCUCCAAUUCGCUCCAAAAUGGGAUAUGGUCCCAUAUAUCUCGGUUUAAGCUUCUUCAGCUUCCGAGUCUUAGAUCCUCCCUGAAAUGUCCUCAUUUUCAGGUAUACCAGGUCGCCAACCUGGAACUCCAAAUCUUUACGCCGCUUAUCUGCAUAACUCUUCUGACGGUCAUGGGCUUCCCUAAGCCGUAUCUUAAGCAUCUCAACCUGCUCAACUGUUUCUUGAACCAUUGCAGGUUCUAUCUCACGUCGCUCCCCCACUUCGGUCCAACAAAGCGGUGUGCGACAAGGCCUACCAUAAAGGGCCUCAUAUGGCGCCAUCUUAAUGCUCGAGUGAUAACUAUUAUUGUAGGCAAACUCCGCUAGGGGUAGGUACUUUGCCCAACUCCCUUCCCAAUCCAAAACACAAGCUCUAAGCAUAUCCUCCAAAGUCUGAAUCGUCCUCUCUGACUGACCGUCUGUCUGCGGGUGAUACGCCGUACUCAUAUGCACUUUCGUCCCAAGCGCCUUCUGGAAGGCUCUCCAAAAGUCAGACGUAAACUUUGUAUCUCGAUCUGAUACAAUGCUGACAGGAACUCCAUGCAAUCUCACAAUCUCGUUGAUGUAACUCUGUGCUAACUGAUCAGCUCUGUCCGUCUUCUUAAUAGCUAGAAAAUGGGCUGACUUGGUAAGUCUAUCCACGAUUACCCAGAUGGCAUUCUUUCCUCCUAAGGUGGUUGGCAACCCCGUCACAAAAUCCAUAGUUACCAUGUCCCAUUUCCACUCUGGCAAUGGCAGGUUCUGCAAUAACCCGCUAGGCACCUGAUGCUCGGCCUUGACCAUCUGACACGUCUGACACUGCGAUAUAAAUGAAGCAACAUCCCUCUUUAUGCCAGGCCAAUGAUAAUAACGCUUGAGAUCCUUGUACAUCUUGGUGUUUCCUGGAUGAAUAGAGAAACGCGAGUGGUGUGCCUGCUGCAAGAUUUCCUUUUUUAACAACUCAUCAUUAGGCACACAAACCCGGUUCCGAUACAUGAACAUCCCACUCGAAGCUGUAUGAUAUCCAAUACUCUCAAUCUCGAUCUGCUUACACAAAGCCUUAUCUGCAUCCUGAGCCUUACGCACUUUCCAUAACAAAUCUGCUUGCUCCACAGCCUCGAGGCCAACUGCCUCUCCCUCUACAGUAACUGCACAUAAUCUUAGACUAGCAAGUGUCCCAGUAAGCUCCUGGACCUCUUUGGUUCCCGAUAUAUCGCUUCUGCGCCUACUCAAGGCAUCCGCCACAUGAUUGGCUUUUCCCGGGUGAUAUGUGAUCUCCAAAUUGUAGUCUGCUAACAACUCCAUCAAUCUACGCUGCCUCAAAUUCAAGUCCGUUUGCGUAAAUAUGUACUUCAGACUCUGGUGGUCCGUGAAAAUCUUCACCUUCUCUCCAUACAAGUAUGACCUCCAGAUUUUUAAUGCAAAUACAACUGCUGCCAACUCCAAAUCAUGAGUAGGAUAAUUGGCCUCGUGAGGCCUCAACUGUCGUGAUGCAUAGGCAAUGACCUGACCUUCCUGCAUCAGUACACAUCCCAAUCCGGUGCCUGACGCAUCUGUGUAAACAUCAUAUGGUAUCCCUGGCCUUGGGAGUACCAAAACUGGCGCAUGGGUCAGUUGUCGCUUCAACUCAGUGAAACUCCCCGAACAUUCCUCUGUCCAAUCAAACUCGGUGUCUUUUCCUGUUAGUCGUGUCAUUGGCUUUGCAAUGCUAGCAAAAUUGUUGACAUACUUUCUGUAGUAUCCUGCCAAACCGAGAAAACUGCGGAUCUCCGUCGCAUUCUUAGGUGUCGGCCACUCUGAAAUGGCGCUAAUCUUCUCCUGAUCUACGGCAACUCCCGCUUCUGAAACCACGUGACCCAAAAAUCCAAUCUUCUUCUGCCAAAAGCUACACUUGCUCAGCUUGGCAAAUAACUGAUGUUCCCGAAGCUUACCCAACACAAUCCGCAAAUGUUCAGCAUGCUCUCCUCUACUCCGAGAGUAAACCAAGAUGUCAUCUAUGAAAACGAUCACACACUUAUCCAAGUGCUCACGAAAUACAUCAUUCAUAAGCUUCAUGAACGCGGCUGGUGCGUUUGUCAACCCAAAUGGCAUCACCACAAACUCGUAAUGUCCAUAACGGGUACGGAAUGCCGUCUUCCGCACAUCUCCCUCAGCUAUUGCAAUCUGGUGGUAUCCCGAUGCCAAGUCAAUCUUAGAGAACCAUGAAGCUCCCUGCAACUGGUCCAACAACUCGUCGAUACGCGGGAGCGGGUACUUAUUCUUGAUGGUCACUUUGUUCAAACCUCUGUAAUCUAUACAAAGUCUGAAACUCCCAUCUUUCUUCUUCACAAACAACACUGGUGCUCCCCACGGUGACGUGCUUGGCCUGAUAAACCCCUUAUCAGAUAGCUCCUCCAAUUGUUUCUUUAACUCUGCCAUCUCAGUUGGUGCGAGACGGUAUGGAGCUCGUGAAAUUGGUGCUGCUCCUGGCUCUACUUCUAUUGUAAGAACGUCCGCUCUAGCUGGUGGUGGCCCUUUUAAAGGCUCAAAAACAUCCUCGUACUCGGCGACCACUGAUAUAUCAUGCAGCUUCUGCUGACCGUCCUCCUUAGCCAUCGAAAUUGUUGCCAAAAAUCCCUCUGCUCCACUUUCCAAUAAUUCUUCUGCACGCAACAUGGAUACGAUAGGAAUUUCCCGGUGUGUCUGAAUUUCCUCGCAAAUGAUCUUUCCUUCUUCUCUAGGGAUAUUAACUCUUGCCUUCGGACAAUCCAAGAUUACUCGAUGUCGCGACAGCCAAUCCAUCCCAAGUAUAACAUCGUAGGAGCUCAUCUCUAUCUCCGUCAAAUCUCCGAGCAACUCGACUCCUCCAAGUAGAACUGGUACAUCGUGAUAAAUGCCAACUGCACCCAACUUCUCCGUGCCGACAGUCUGGAUCUGCUUAGCCUUCGGUUCAAAGACUCCCCGAAAAGACCAAGACUGGACUAAGCGCGGACUCACAAAACUAUGAGAGGCUCCCGUGUCGAAUAAGGUGUGAGCUGACUUUCCUCCAACCGAAACCGAUCCCGCUAUCGGCUCAGCUCCCUGGGGAUCUCCAAUUGCAAAGACCCGUGGAGCGAUGGCUGGACGCUUCGGUGGUGGUGGAAGCGCUGCAUUGCCUCUCCUCGGACAAUCUCUGUAGAUGUGACCCGGCUGGUUGCAGCCGUAACAGUUCCUCGCUGCCACUGCUGGUGCUACUGCUGCUGCUGGUGUUGCAACCUGAGUUCGUGGUGGCUUCCUACAGUUCUUCGCAAGAUGCCCAAACUGAUCGCAAUUAUAGCACUGGAAACAUUCCCCAAAAUGGUGGCGACGACAACGCCCACAACGGGGUGCUCCAGUCUGCUCCCAAGGCCUCUUCUGCGACCCCGAAGCCCCUCCUGCCUUAGGCUGAACUGCUUUGGAGAACUUCUGCUCCUCACCCAUACAUUUCUCCUGCACAGCCGCCUUCUCUACCAGAUCCUCCAAACUGGUGUAGGUAACCACACUGCACCUACCACGAAGCUCUACUCGCAUCCCAUCUAAGAACCUCCUGAUCAGAUCCUCCUCAUCUAUGUUGUUACCCACAAAUCUGCGGAGUUGGUUAAACUCCCGCUCAUACUCCCUGACAGACUUUGCACCCUGCCUCAAAUGCUCGAAAUCAUUCUUCUUCUCAUGCAAAGCUUCCCUCGGAAAAAUACUUCUUGUUGAACGCGUAAAGAAAAUCAUCAUAUGUCAGCUCGCCACGGUGCAUCAAUCUCACUCCAUCCCACCAGAUUGAUGCAUCUCCGCGCAAAUACAACUCAGCGAUGUUUAGCUUGAGCCUUGGUGGGCACGAGAUGGUCUUCAAACACUUAUCCAAAUUGUGCUUCCAAUCGUGAGCAACUGUAGGUUCCGUCGUUCCAGUGAAAUGCUCCAAACUCACAUACUUCAUCUGUCCCAACACCCUGAUAAAUGUCUCAUCAACCUCGGGCACCUGAACUGGGAAAGCAGGUGGCGGCGGUGGAACCUGAAAAACUCCUGGAACCGGCUGAACAGGAACCUGAGGGUACUGCUGGACUGGAGCCGGCUGAUGUGGAACCUGAUGAUAAUGCUGAACCUGAACUGGUGGAGCCUGCUGCAUGCGAAUCUGCGGACCCUGCUGUACUGCAGCCAUCUGUCUGGCAACCUCCUGAGCAGCUAUUCGGGCAGCCUCCUGGGCAGCUUGCUGGACUGUCUCCUGUGCAGCCUGCCUAGCCGCAUCCUGAACCAUCUGUCUCAAAGCAUCCCGAUCAAUAGGCGGAGCCGCCUGCUGCGGAACUGCGGGCUGGACAUGCUCAUCCUCAGCCCUUCUAGCAACUCUGGGAGUCUGAGUACGAACAACUCUCUUCCUGGGCGCCAUCUAAGGAAAAGCGAAAAAGUUAACUUAUGCCGAUCUGUGGUUACCAACAUUUAAGAAGGAGUGAUACCGAACGGAAAUGUGCUAUUUAUUUUUAUUUUCAAAGUUCCCAAAUCCCCGAAAAUAUUUUGAAAUCGUCUAAAAUCGUUUAAACCGAAUAAACCAAGGUUUCCAAAAUCGCCAUCCCGGGUCGGAGCCGGGACGGAACCCGCUCUGAUACCAAAUUGUGACACCCCGAUUUACAUAAUAAAAUGUUACGAUAAGUAAAUAGCUCUGAUACCAAAAUGUGACACCCGCCACUUUCAAAAUAAAAUAAAUUGAUAAAAGCGGUAAAAGCGAUAGAAGCCCAAAAGCCCAAUAAUAGUAAAAGCCCAAAAGCACCGGUCCGGUAUAAUCACUCCUGCUCGUCGGUCUCACCUGAAAGGGGGAAAGAAGGAGGGGUGAGCGACAGGGGAAUCGCUCAGUGAGGUAUGGGAUGCUAAACCGCAAACCACUGACUCAGUUCAUAGCACUACAACUAUGUAGGCAUAGUUCUAGCAUGAGACAAUCACGGUGCCUAUUACACCACACAGAACAAUCACAUAUGUCUAGUGGACUAGACAUGAUACAACCAAUGCGAUAAUAGCAUAUCACAUUUCCUCAUAAGGAUAUAUAUACUUUACAGGCGUCGCUAGCACAGUAGUCCACACUGCACCCCGCAAAUCUCUAAGGCGUCGUAAGUACAAACGUCUCUGUACCCCCGCAAAUCUCCACAAACAUGGCAGCCAGUGCAAACGUCUCUGCACCCCGCAAAACUCCUCAAACAUAGGCAGCCAGUGCAAACGUCUCUGCACCCCGCAAAUCUCCAAAACAUGGACUCGUAUAUAUAUACAUAUAUAUAACAAUUCUUAACAUCAAUCAUUUCAAUCAACCGUUGAAUCCUCUAUUAUCCUAUUUCCGGUUUAACAAUCAAUAAUAAUAAUAAACAAGCAAGACUCUCAAAAAGACUCGAUUCACAGAGACGGAUCAUGUUUCGAAACUAAACUUUCCAUAACGGUAGUACUAAACUAGCUCGGGAUUUAACGGAGUAGCCCUCACCUUAGCAAUGAAGAGAAGUGGUAUAUAUGAACUCCAGCUGCUCAAAUGGACUCCAAAUCUGAAAUCAGAUCGAAAUUUCGAGUCAGAACGCCUUUCGAACGGUUUAAAACGGGUAUUUACGGAAAAGUCAACCCGCUGGUCAAAGAUCAAUUAUUUAAUUAAUUAAUUAAUUAAUUAAUAAAUUAAUUAAUCCGGUUUAUCCUAACCGAUUUCCAAUUGAUUUUAACCGACCGGUUUAACCUAACCGAAUUGAAAUCAAUUUAAACCGGCUAACCAAUCGGUUAACCGAGUCAACCGAGUUGACUCACCGGGUCGACUCGGCCGAGUUGGCGAGUCGCCGGCGAGUCACCGGUGUCGGUCAUCGGCGGCGACGGCGGAGCUACGGCGGCGGAUUACCGGUAAGUUGGCCGGCGGCGACGGCGGAGCUGCGGCGGAGAACGGUGGUCCGGCGGCGGCGCUGCGGCGGAGGACGGUGGUCCGGCGGCGGCGCGUGGAACUCACGCGCGCGCGGAGGUGAAACUUCCGGAGGCGCGUACGGCUUCGUCCGGGCUCCGAUCGUGACGCGGUUGGUGUCUACGGCUUCGUCUUGACGAGAGGAACACGAUGAUGGCCUUGGAUGCACGAGAUUCACUACGGUUAGAAAGUUAUGACCGAUUUACUAAAACGAGCGAAACAUAACUCAAAACAUGGCGGUUUCCGGUUACCUCGAGCUGCGGUUGAUGGUGAUGACGAGCUUGACGACGUCCUGGCGUGCGGUGGCUCCGGCGACGAGCUCAGGUGAGCUUUCUCUCUCUUUCUCUCUCUCUUUCUCUCUCUCUCUUUCUCUCUCUCUCUCUCUCUCUCUCUUUAAAGAAGUUGGAGAUGGUGGAGAUAAUGGAGAUGGUGGGGAUGGUGGAGAUGGUGGGGAUAGUGGAGAUGGUGGGUCAUUACAAUUCUCCCCUACUUACAAGGAAUUCGUCCCCGAAUUCAAUUCAUAAGCUGUCAUGCCCAAUGUCAACCCGGAAAAGCUCCGGAUAAUCAAUCCUCAUCUGGGGCUCGGACUCCCAAGUCUCCUCCUGAAUACCAUCUCUCUCCCAACGAACUUUGACCAACAUAGUCAUCAUACCAUCAUCUGCUCUCACUUGGCGAUCCAAUAGCUCUACUGGCUGACACGGCGCACGCAAAUUCCUACCAAGGUCACUGGGCGGCUGCUGCAAAAUGAGCUCUGGUUCUCUCACGACUUUCCUCAAAACUGAAACAUGAAACACGUCAUGGAAAUCUGAUAACUCUUCGGAUAAAUCCAAUCGGUAAGCAACUGCUCCAAUUCGCUCCAAAAUGGGAUAUGGUCCCAUAUAUCUCGGUUUAAGCUUCUUCAGCUUCCGAGUCUUAGAUCCUCCCUGAAAUGUCCUCAUUUUCAGGUAUACCAGGUCGCCAACCUGGAACUCCAAAUCUUUACGCCGCUUAUCUGCAUAACUCUUCUGACGGUCAUGGGCUUCCCUAAGCCGUAUCUUAAGCAUCUCAACCUGCUCAACUGUUUCUUGAACCAUUGCAGGUUCUAUCUCACGUCGCUCCCCCACUUCGGUCCAACAAAGCGGUGUGCGACAAGGCCUACCAUAAAGGGCCUCAUAUGGCGCCAUCUUAAUGCUCGAGUGAUAACUAUUAUUGUAGGCAAACUCCGCUAGGGGUAGGUACUUUGCCCAACUCCCUUCCCAAUCCAAAACACAAGCUCUAAGCAUAUCCUCCAAAGUCUGAAUCGUCCUCUCUGACUGACCGUCUGUCUGCGGGUGAUACGCCGUACUCAUAUGCACUUUCGUCCCAAGCGCCUUCUGGAAGGCUCUCCAAAAGUCAGACGUAAACUUUGUAUCUCGAUCUGAUACAAUGCUGACAGGAACUCCAUGCAAUCUCACAAUCUCGUUGAUGUAACUCUGUGCUAACUGAUCAGCUCUGUCCGUCUUCUUAAUAGCUAGAAAAUGGGCUGACUUGGUAAGUCUAUCCACGAUUACCCAGAUGGCAUUCUUUCCUCCUAAGGUGGUUGGCAACCCCGUCACAAAAUCCAUAGUUACCAUGUCCCAUUUCCACUCUGGCAAUGGCAGGUUCUGCAAUAACCCGCUAGGCACCUGAUGCUCGGCCUUGACCAUCUGACACGUCUGACACUGCGAUAUAAAUGAAGCAACAUCCCUCUUUAUGCCAGGCCAAUGAUAAUAACGCUUGAGAUCCUUGUACAUCUUGGUGUUUCCUGGAUGAAUAGAGAAACGCGAGUGGUGUGCCUGCUGCAAGAUUUCCUUUUUUAACAACUCAUCAUUAGGCACACAAACCCGGUUCCGAUACAUGAACAUCCCACUCGAAGCUGUAUGAUAUCCAAUACUCUCAAUCUCGAUCUGCUUACACAAAGCCUUAUCUGCAUCCUGAGCCUUACGCACUUUCCAUAACAAAUCUGCUUGCUCCACAGCCUCGAGGCCAACUGCCUCUCCCUCUACAGUAACUGCACAUAAUCUUAGACUAGCAAGUGUCCCAGUAAGCUCCUGGACCUCUUUGGUUCCCGAUAUAUCGCUUCUGCGCCUACUCAAGGCAUCCGCCACAUGAUUGGCUUUUCCCGGGUGAUAUGUGAUCUCCAAAUUGUAGUCUGCUAACAACUCCAUCAAUCUACGCUGCCUCAAAUUCAAGUCCGUUUGCGUAAAUAUGUACUUCAGACUCUGGUGGUCCGUGAAAAUCUUCACCUUCUCUCCAUACAAGUAUGACCUCCAGAUUUUUAAUGCAAAUACAACUGCUGCCAACUCCAAAUCAUGAGUAGGAUAAUUGGCCUCGUGAGGCCUCAACUGUCGUGAUGCAUAGGCAAUGACCUGACCUUCCUGCAUCAGUACACAUCCCAAUCCGGUGCCUGACGCAUCUGUGUAAACAUCAUAUGGUAUCCCUGGCCUUGGGAGUACCAAAACUGGCGCAUGGGUCAGUUGUCGCUUCAACUCAGUGAAACUCCCCGAACAUUCCUCUGUCCAAUCAAACUCGGUGUCUUUUCCUGUUAGUCGUGUCAUUGGCUUUGCAAUGCUAGCAAAAUUGUUGACAUACUUUCUGUAGUAUCCUGCCAAACCGAGAAAACUGCGGAUCUCCGUCGCAUUCUUAGGUGUCGGCCACUCUGAAAUGGCGCUAAUCUUCUCCUGAUCUACGGCAACUCCCGCUUCUGAAACCACGUGACCCAAAAAUCCAAUCUUCUUCUGCCAAAAGCUACACUUGCUCAGCUUGGCAAAUAACUGAUGUUCCCGAAGCUUACCCAACACAAUCCGCAAAUGUUCAGCAUGCUCUCCUCUACUCCGAGAGUAAACCAAGAUGUCAUCUAUGAAAACGAUCACACACUUAUCCAAGUGCUCACGAAAUACAUCAUUCAUAAGCUUCAUGAACGCGGCUGGUGCGUUUGUCAACCCAAAUGGCAUCACCACAAACUCGUAAUGUCCAUAACGGGUACGGAAUGCCGUCUUCCGCACAUCUCCCUCAGCUAUUGCAAUCUGGUGGUAUCCCGAUGCCAAGUCAAUCUUAGAGAACCAUGAAGCUCCCUGCAACUGGUCCAACAACUCGUCGAUACGCGGGAGCGGGUACUUAUUCUUGAUGGUCACUUUGUUCAAACCUCUGUAAUCUAUACAAAGUCUGAAACUCCCAUCUUUCUUCUUCACAAACAACACUGGUGCUCCCCACGGUGACGUGCUUGGCCUGAUAAACCCCUUAUCAGAUAGCUCCUCCAAUUGUUUCUUUAACUCUGCCAUCUCAGUUGGUGCGAGACGGUAUGGAGCUCGUGAAAUUGGUGCUGCUCCUGGCUCUACUUCUAUUGUAAGAACGUCCGCUCUAGCUGGUGGUGGCCCUUUUAAAGGCUCAAAAACAUCCUCGUACUCGGCGACCACUGAUAUAUCAUGCAGCUUCUGCUGACCGUCCUCCUUAGCCAUCGAAAUUGUUGCCAAAAAUCCCUCUGCUCCACUUUCCAAUAAUUCUUCUGCACGCAACAUGGAUACGAUAGGAAUUUCCCGGUGUGUCUGAAUUUCCUCGCAAAUGAUCUUUCCUUCUUCUCUAGGGAUAUUAACUCUUGCCUUCGGACAAUCCAAGAUUACUCGAUGUCGCGACAGCCAAUCCAUCCCAAGUAUAACAUCGUAGGAGCUCAUCUCUAUCUCCGUCAAAUCUCCGAGCAACUCGACUCCUCCAAGUAGAACUGGUACAUCGUGAUAAAUGCCAACUGCACCCAACUUCUCCGUGCCGACAGUCUGGAUCUGCUUAGCCUUCGGUUCAAAGACUCCCCGAAAAGACCAAGACUGGACUAAGCGCGGACUCACAAAACUAUGAGAGGCUCCCGUGUCGAAUAAGGUGUGAGCUGACUUUCCUCCAACCGAAACCGAUCCCGCUAUCGGCUCAGCUCCCUGGGGAUCUCCAAUUGCAAAGACCCGUGGAGCGAUGGCUGGACGCUUCGGUGGUGGUGGAAGCGCUGCAUUGCCUCUCCUCGGACAAUCUCUGUAGAUGUGACCCGGCUGGUUGCAGCCGUAACAGUUCCUCGCUGCCACUGCUGGUGCUACUGCUGCUGCUGGUGUUGCAACCUGAGUUCGUGGUGGCUUCCUACAGUUCUUCGCAAGAUGCCCAAACUGAUCGCAAUUAUAGCACUGGAAACAUUCCCCAAAAUGGUGGCGACGACAACGCCCACAACGGGGUGCUCCAGUCUGCUCCCAAGGCCUCUUCUGCGACCCCGAAGCCCCUCCUGCCUUAGGCUGAACUGCUUUGGAGAACUUCUGCUCCUCACCCAUACAUUUCUCCUGCACAGCCGCCUUCUCUACCAGAUCCUCCAAACUGGUGUAGGUAACCACACUGCACCUACCACGAAGCUCUACUCGCAUCCCAUCUAAGAACCUCCUGAUCAGAUCCUCCUCAUCUAUGUUGUUACCCACAAAUCUGCGGAGUUGGUUAAACUCCCGCUCAUACUCCCUGACAGACUUUGCACCCUGCCUCAAAUGCUCGAAAUCAUUCUUCUUCUCAUGCAAAGCUUCCCUCGGAAAAAUACUUCUUGUUGAACGCGUAAAGAAAAUCAUCAUAUGUCAGCUCGCCACGGUGCAUCAAUCUCACUCCAUCCCACCAGAUUGAUGCAUCUCCGCGCAAAUACAACUCAGCGAUGUUUAGCUUGAGCCUUGGUGGGCACGAGAUGGUCUUCAAACACUUAUCCAAAUUGUGCUUCCAAUCGUGAGCAACUGUAGGUUCCGUCGUUCCAGUGAAAUGCUCCAAACUCACAUACUUCAUCUGUCCCAACACCCUGAUAAAUGUCUCAUCAACCUCGGGCACCUGAACUGGGAAAGCAGGUGGCGGCGGUGGAACCUGAAAAACUCCUGGAACCGGCUGAACAGGAACCUGAGGGUACUGCUGGACUGGAGCCGGCUGAUGUGGAACCUGAUGAUAAUGCUGAACCUGAACUGGUGGAGCCUGCUGCAUGCGAAUCUGCGGACCCUGCUGUACUGCAGCCAUCUGUCUGGCAACCUCCUGAGCAGCUAUUCGGGCAGCCUCCUGGGCAGCUUGCUGGACUGUCUCCUGUGCAGCCUGCCUAGCCCUGCUGUACUGCAGCCAUCUGUCUGGCAACCUCCUGAGCAGCUAUUCGGGCAGCCUCCUGGGCAGCUUGCUGGACUGUCUCCUGUGCAGCCUGCCUAGCCGCAUCCUGAACCAUCUGUCUCAAAGCAUCCUGAUCAAUAGGCGGAGCCGCCUGCUGCGGAACUGCGGGCUGGACAUGCUCAUCCUCAGCCUCUCUAGCAACUUUGGGAGUCUGAGUAUGAACAACUCUCUUCCUGGGCGCCAUCUGAAAGAAAAGCGAAAAAGUUAACUUAUGCCGAUCUGUGGUUACCAACAUUUAAGAAGGAGUGAUACCGAACGGAAAGGUGCUAUUUAUUUUUAUUUUCAAAGUUCCCAAAUCCCCGAAAAUAUUUUGAAAUCGUCUAAAAUCGUUUAAACCGAAUAAACCAAGGUCUCCAAAAUCGCCAUCCCGGGUCGGAGCCGGGACGGAACCCGCUCUGAUACCAAAAUGUGACACCCCGAUUUACAUAAUAAAAUGUUACGAUAAGUAAAUAGCUCUGAUACCAAAAUGUGACACCCGUCACUUUCGAAAUAGUAAAAAUAAUUCGAUAAGUACAAAUAUCUGAAAUGUCCAUAUAUAAAUAUUUGAAAGUCCACAUCCACGCUUGAAUUCCAUAAUAUAAAAUAAAAUCUGAAACAUAAAGUACGACAUAAACCGAGAGUCCGAAAUACGAAAUAACAUAAACGAUAAAAGCCCAAAGGCCUAGAGGCCCGAUAACGAUAAAAGCGAUAAAAAGAUAGAUGCCCAAAAGCCCAAUAGUAGUAAAAGCCCAAAAGCACCGGUCCGGUAUAAUCACUUCUGCUCGUCGGUCUCACCUGAAAGGGGGAAAGAAGGAGGGGUGAGCGACAGGGGAAUCGCCCAGUGAGGUAUGGGAUGCUAAUCCGCAAACCACUGACUCAGUUCAUAGCACUACUAAAAUGUAGGCCUAGCUCUAGCAUGAAACAAACACGGUGUCGAUUACACCACACAAAACAAUCAACAUAUGUCUAGAGGACUAGACAUGCUACAACCAAUGCGAUGAUAUCAUACCGCAUUUCCUUCAUAAGGAUAUAUAUCUAUAAAUAUAAUUCUACAAGCGUCGUAAGUACAGUAGUCCACUCUGUACCCUCCGCAAAUCCACGGCCUAGUGCAGAAAUCUCUGCACCCCGCAAUCUCAAACAAUGCAGCCUAGUACAAACGUCUUUGUACCCCGCUAAACACACGGCCUAGUACAGAUAUCUCCGUACCCCGCGAUCUCUCAAACAAGGCGUAGCUAGCACAGACGUCAUGUGCCCCCGCAAUCACACGGCCUAGUACAAACGUCUCUGUACCCCGCAAAUUCCGCGGCCUAGUGCAGAUACCUAUGCACCCCGCAAUCUCAACACAUGGACUAACAUAUAUACAUAUAUAUAAUUAACAGUUUUUAGCAGCAAUCAUUUCAAUCAACCGUUGAAUCCUCUAUUAUCAUAUUUCCGGUUUAACAAUCAAUAUCAAUAACGAACAACCAAGACUCUCAAACAGACUCGAUUCAAAGAGACGGAUCCAUGUUUCGAAACUAAACUUUCCAUAAUGGUAGUACUAAACUAGCUCGGGAUUUAACGGAGUAGCCCUCACCUUAGCAAUGAAGAGAAGUGGUAUAUAUGAACUCCAGCUGCUCAAAUGGACUCCAAAUCUGAAAUCAGAUCGAAAUUUCGAGUCAGAACGCCUUUCGAACGGUUUAAAACGGGUAUUUACGGAAAAGUCAACUCGCUGGUCAAAGAUCAAUUAUUUAAUUAAUUAAUUAAUUAAUUAAUUAAUAAAUUAAUUAAUCCGGUUUAUCCUAACCGAUUUCCAAUUGAUUUUAACCGACCGGUUUAACCUAACCGAAUUGAAAUCAAUUUAAACCGGCUAACCAAUCGGUUAACCGAGUCAACCGAGUUGACUCACUGAGUUGACUCGGCCGAGUUGACCGAGUCGCCGGUGAGUCACCGGUGUCGGUCACCGGCGGCGACGGCGGAGCUGCGGUGGCGGCUUACCGGAAAGUUGGCCGGCGGCGACGGCGGAGCUGCGGCGGCGGACGGUGGUCCGGCGGCGGAGCUGCGGUGGCAACGAUUCCGGCGGCGGCGCGUGCGUUUCAUGCGCGCGCGAAGGGCGGUUUUCUGGAGGCGCGUACGGCUUCGUCCGGGCUCCGUUUGAGGCGUGCUUGGUGUCUACGGCUUUGUCUCGACGAGAGGAACACGAUGAUGGGCUUGGAUGCACGAGAUUCGCAACGGUUAAGAAGUUAUAGUCGAUUUACUAAAACGGAACCGAAACUGAACUUAAAUCAUGGGAUUUUCGCGGUGGUUACCUGCGAUUAACGGUGGUGGCGAGCUCAACACGGUCACGGGGCGCAGAGGCUAUAACGAACUCCGGUGACGACCUCAACCUCUCCAAAUCCUUCUUCUCACCUCCCCCUCUCUUCUUUUAUCUUCCCUUCUCUUCUCUACUCUUCUCUUCUCUCUGAUUUUUUUUUCUUUUGAUUGCAGGUUAUUAGUGGAGAAGGUGGGUUUAAUAGAUGUGUUAAUGGGUGGAG
rnacentral:lncRNA from 1 species